CUUUCUCAUUCUGCUUUUGACUGUCGACCUUGUCGCACGGUGCGUUGAGUUUAGGUGUUCUUCGCAUUAGUGAUUUUAAUUGAUUGGUGACAAGUUCUGAGAAGUGCGAUUGGCAUUCACGAAUCGGCCAAUUUGUUGCCCUUAAGUGUUCAAUAAAAUUAUAAAUUGAUAGACAAGUGGCUCAACCGGCGUAAACAUGGAAGUAGCAAAGCCAGAAGUUAACGGUACUCCGCUCCCGCAGCGGCAGCCGAAUAAUCCAGGGCAGCAGGCUGGUGGUAAUCCUGGUAAUCAAGCCCAGGGACAAGGUGGCCAGCCAAACCAGGGCGCCGGUGGUCAGCAGCAAAACCAGGGUGGUAAAGGACAGAAUCAAAAUCAGAAUCGCGGCAAUCAGAACAAAAAUCGCGGCGGCAACCAAAAUCGAUUCAAUAAUCGCAACCAAGGUGGUGGCGGUGGCGGUGGAAAUCGGCAACAGAAUAAUCCGGAUGGAAAUAACGACGGAAAUCAGCAGCAACAGGGUCGCCAAGGCGGACCCGGUGGUAAUCGUGGCGGCAACCGGAACAGAAAUCAAAAUGAUGGUGAUCAAAGCUUUGAUCGACGUCGCAGUGGUCCAGGCGAACAGUAUUUCAUUAAUGAAAAGUUGCGCAUGCUGCAAGGACCGCUAAUGGAUCUGCCACCAAUCGAAUCUGAGCAAAUCAAGUUUUCCGGUCGAAACCGAUUGUAUAUCGGUAAUCUGACAAAUGAUGUGACCGAGGAAGAGUUGGUUGAAUUGUUUAGGCCAUACGGUGAUAUUACGGAAGUUUUCAUGAAUAAAGAGAAGAACUACGCCUUUGUGCGUGUAGAUUACUUCUCAAACGCGGAGAAAGCUAAGCGGGAAUUAGACGGAACGUCGCGCAAGAACCGUAUCUUGAGAGUACGUUUCGCACCUAAUGCUACUGCUGUUCGCGUCCGUAAUUUGACACCAUUUAUCAGUAAUGAACUUCUGUACAAGGCAUUCGAAGUUUUUGGUCCGCUUGAGCGGGCUUCUGUUCAGGUUGACGAACGUGGCAAAUCUACCGGAGAGGGUAUUGUUGAAUUUAAAAACAAGCCUGGUGCUAUGUCAGCCUUGCGUUACUGCACAGAAAAGUGUUACUUCUUGACAUCUUCGCUAAGACCGUGCAUUGUUGAACCGUACACUUAUCAAGAUGACACAGACGGACUACCGGAAAAGUCACUAAACAAAAAAAUUCCGGACUUUCAGAAAUCGAGACAGGCUGGUCCACGUUUUGCAGAAAUUGGUUCUUUCGAGCAUGAAUAUGGCCAACGCUGGAAGCAUAUGCAUGAACUGUAUAAGCAGAAAGCCGAAGCACUAAAACGUGAAAUGAUCAUGGAGGAGGAGAAGCUGGAAGCGCAGAUGGAAUACGCUCGUUAUGAACACGAGACCGAGCAGUUACGAGAGCAACUUCGCAUGCGAGAACAAGAUCGUGAUCGUCAGAAGGCCGAAUGGGAGAUGAAAGAGCGCCAAGCUGUUGAAGCAAAGACUCGCAAUGAACUGCAGAUGAAGCAUGAUGUCGAGGAGAUGCAGAAUCGCAUCAAACGUACGGAUGAUGAAAUGCACCGCCGUCAGCAGGAAAAUACCUUAUUUAUGCAGGAUUCCUUGAAACAGAACCAACAAAUGACAUUACUCGAUAACAAUGAUGAUAAUCGUCGUCCAUUCGAUUUGAUGAGCCAUGGUGGUGGCGGUGGCGGUGGCGGAAACAGUGGCCCUGGUAACAAUUUCGGCGGAAUGGCCCUGCUUAUGAAUUUGUUCCCGAGAAAAUCCGCUCGUAAGGUUUUUUGAAAACGAGCCAAACGGCCAAAGACUGUCACUCUGCCUACCUAACAACGCUACCUCUUGAAAUAGCCUACAGUAGCUAAAUGCACUCAGUGUCAUAUGUUUUAAGUAGCCAGUUUUAGAGGAGUUUACCACUGCUGAAGAGAUCAUCAUCCGAACGGCUAGAGGUUCAGGAAAGAACACAGCCAGCAACGCAAUACGGGUUCCAUCGGUGCACAAAACUAUACAGGAGUUUUUAUCGGCAACUGUUACGCUAGUUAUACACGAUAGAUGUAUGAACAAUGCCUUAUCUUGAUAUUCCCACAAAAGGAUUGCAAUAUUACUGUUAGACUUAGGAAACUUCGAAGUUUAUUUUACGAGUGUGGCGAACUAAUUGGUAUGCACAUUUCCCUGAUGAUAUUUCUGCAAAAGGUCUGCAUUGACAAACAUGCUGUUACGCUUUGUCUUUGUGGUUUUGUUGCUAAGGCAAUAAUUACUGACGACAGAGAAAAACAAUGAAGCCAUUUUAAAGACCAGUUGACUCGCUGCGCUCAGAAAUUUUUAUUUCCAAGCACAAAGUACUGUGAUAUACUACACUUGGUUUCGGUUCCAGCAACUUCAAAUCGGAAGACACGCUCUGAAGGAAGGAUGUGUAAUGUUUGAACAGAAAAAAAACAGUUAUAAUAAAAACCAUUUAAUGUAUCGACAUUUGUAAUAAAUCAACAUACAAAAA